AAAGAGGUAUUUUAAAAAGAAUAAUUUUUUUACACAAAAUAGGUAGAUUUUCUCCUCUUU
rnacentral:tRNA from 1 species